AGCGAACGCUGGCGGCAGGCUUAACACAUGCAAGUCGAGCGGGCCUUUCUGUGUCAGCGGCGGACGGGUGAGUAACGUGGUGGAACGUGCCCUCGUGUUCGGAAUAACUUAGGUGAACUUGUGCUUAUACCGGAUACGCCCUUUUGGGGAAAGGCUUGCUGCCGGAGGAUCGGCCCGCGUCUGAUUAGCUAGUUGGUGAGGUAACGGCUUACCAAGGCGACGAUCAGUAGCUGGUCUGAGAGGAUGAUCAGCCACACUGGGACUGAGACACGGCCCAGACACCUACGGGAGGCAGCAGUGGGGAAUAUUGGACAAUGGGCGCACACCUGAUCCAGCCAUGCCGCGUGAGUGAUGAAGGCCUUAGGGUUAAAAAACUCUUUUAUCCGGGACGAUAAUGACGGUACCGGAGGAAUAAGCCCCGGCUAACUUCGUG
rnacentral:rRNA from 1 species